UCCGUAGGUGAACCUGCGGAAGGAUCAUUAUUGAAUAAUCUUGAUGUGGGUUGUAGCUGAUUCUUCGGAGUAUGUGCUCGCCUCGUCAUCUUUAUCUUUCCACCUGUGCACUCUUUGUAGAUUUGGAUUGUCAAUUAUUUCUGAAUGCAGUUGUGAGGAAUGCUUUAUUUAUUAUAAGGCUUUCCUUUUGAUGACCCAAGUCUAUGUYUUUUUUAUAUGCUCCAAUGAAUGUUAACAGAAUGUAAAGACUAGGUUUAAUACCUAUAAUAAAUUAUAUACAACUUUCAGCAACGGAUCUCUUGGCUCUCGCAUCGAUGAAGAACGCAGCGAAAUGCGAUAAGUAAUGUGAAUUGCAGAAUUCAGUGAAUCAUCGAAUCUUUGAACGCACCUUGCGCCCCUUGGUAUUCCGAGGGGCAUGCCUGUUUGAGUGUCAUUAAAAUAUCAAUCCCUUAUUCUCAUGUUUGAGUGGAUUGGAUGUGGGGGUUUAAUUUUGCUGGUUUGAAUAAAAUCUGCUCCCCUUAAACAUAUUAGCUGGUGCCCCAUUGUGUAUGGGACUCUUUCUAUUGGUGUGAUAAUUAUCUACGCCGUUGGGAUGAGUCUGAUUCUUUUAAAAUGGAUGUGUGCUGCUUUCUAAUCGUCCGUUAUUGGACAAUUUAUCUGACAUUUGACCUCAAAUCAGGUAGGACUACCCGCUGAACUUAAGCAUAUCAAUAAGCGGAGGAAAAGAAACUAACAAGGAUUCCCUUAGUAACUGCGAGUGAAGCGGGAAAAGCUCAAAUUUAAAAGCUGGCAGUCUUUGAUUGUCCGCAUUG
rnacentral:rRNA from 1 species